rnacentral:tRNA from 1 species
ACUUGAGUAUUUUAAUAAAAAUAUUAGUUUGUGGAACUAAAGAUGUAUUUUGUGCCUCAGGUA